rnacentral:tmRNA from 1 species
GGGCCUGUAUUGGUUUCGACAGCAUAGGUUACGGUAAGUGGAAGCAUGCAGUGCGUUNNCACAGUAUGCCAUGGCUGCCUAAUUAGUAAUUAGUCAGUCAUUCGGGCCGCCGCACAGGUUUAUCUGUUACCAGGUGCCGCCGCCGACUCAAAACAAACACAGGUUGCUGCAAUAGAAGGCUGUGACUAUUGCAAAAGAAUAUACAGCUAAGCAUUGAAUUGGUUUGUUCAUUUCCGGUUCAUUGCCGACAAUUAAUAAUGAAAUAAGCAUGUAGAAGACUUAUGGUAAAUAUGUUUGGACAGGAGUUCGAUUCUCCUCAGGUCCACCU